CAUCUUCUUUGACAAAAUCUGAAGAUGAAAGUGAAAGUGAAAGUGAAAGUGGAGAAGAAGAAAAUGCCAAGCCGUCCCAGGCAUUGGCUCUCCCUCUGGCAGGUGCCACCAAACCCAGUGGCUCAUGUAAACCCUCAUGCGUCACUCAGGAGAAGAGAUCACCAAGAGACCCAGUUAACGAGAUAAAGGUGAUUGCAAGUACCGUGCUUGGUGGCGUCUUGGAGGACUUGAAGGAAAAGAAGGUGUUAGAUAAGCAAGAGUUAGAAACAAUGGGGAAAACAGUGAAUGUCAUCGUGAAUAAGACUGAAAACCUGGUUAGUGAUUUUACUGAGAAAACUCAAAUGGUAGGCAAAGUACUUAUGGAGCAUUUCUUCAAUUCCAGGAGACUGCUGAGUUUAAGUGAGUAUCUUGAGCCAAAGGACUACUAACUUAUUCUUUAUCUGCUCUCUUAUGCACUCUCUGUCUUCUUAUUUCUAUUUGCAAAUGGAGAACUAUCCACAUCUCUAGUAGUUUCUUUGCCUGACGACCUUAUAAAAGAUGGCAAAAGGUCCCAUAAACCCCAGCCCAGUCCAUGUGCCAGCAUCCAAAAUCACUUU